rnacentral:rRNA from 1 species
AUGAACGCUGGCGGCGUGCCUCAUCCAUGCAAGUCGAGCGAACAGAUGAGGAGCUUGCUCCUCUGACGUUAGCGGCGGACGGGUGAGUAACACGUGGAUAACCUACCUAUAAGACUGGGAUAACUUCGGGAAACCGGAGCUAAUACCGGAUAAUAUAUUGAACCGCAUGGUUCAAUAGUGAAAGACGGUUUUGCUGUCACUUAUAGAUGAAUCCGCGCCGCAUUAGCUAGUUGGUAAGGUAACGGCUUACCAAGGCAACGAUGCGUAGCCGAACUGAGAGGGGGAUAGGCCACACUGGAACUGGAACAGGGACCAGACUCCUACGGGAGGGAGCAGUAGGGAAUCUUCCGCAAUGGGCGAAAGCCUGACGGAGCAACGCCGCGUGAGUGAUGAAGGUCUUCGGAUCGUAAAACUCUGUUAUUAGGGAAGAACAAAUGUGUAAGUAACUAUGCACGUCUUGACGGUACCUAAUCAGAAAGCCACGGCUAACUACGUG